UACAGAGGUCUCAAGCGUUUGUUCGGAUUCAUUGGGCGUAAAGGGUGUGUAGGUGGCGCCGUAAGUCAGGUGUGAAAUCUCGGGGCUUAACUCCGAAACUGCAUUUGAGUACUGCGGUGCUUGAGGGACUGGAGAGGAGACUGGAUUUAUGGUGUAGCAGUGAAAUGCGUAGAUAUCAUAAGGAAGACCAGUGGCGAAGGCGGGUCUCUGGACAGUUCCUGACACUGAGACACGAAGGCCCAGGGGAGCAAACGGG
rnacentral:rRNA from 1 species